rnacentral:rRNA from 1 species
GAUGAACGCUGGCGGCGUGCCUAAUACAUGCAAGUCGAGCGAACGGACGAGAAGCUUGCUUUUCUGAUGUUAGCGGCGGACGGGUGAGUAACACGUGGAUAACCUACCUAUAAGACUGGGAUAACUUCGGGAAACCGGAGCUAAUACCGGAUAAUAUUUUGAACCGCAUGGUUCAAAAGUGAAAGACGGUCUUGCUGUCACUUAUAGAUGGAUCCGCGCUGCAUUAGCUAGUUGGUAAGGUAACGGCUUACCAAGGCAACGAUGCAUAGCCGACCUGAGAGGGGGGUCGGCCACCCUGGAACUGAGACACGGUCCAGACUCCUACGGGAGGCAGCAGUAGGGAAUCUUCCGCAGAGGGCGAAAGCCUGACGGAGCAACGCCGCGUGAGUGAUGAAGGUCUUCGGAUCGUAAAACUCUGUUAUUAGGGAAGAACAUAUGUGUAAGUAACUGUGCACAUCUUGACGGUACCUAAUCAGAAAGCCACGGCUAACUACGUG